rnacentral:snRNA from 1 species
GGUGAACAGCCUCUGGUC